rnacentral:rRNA from 1 species
GAUGAACGCUGGCGGCGUGCUUAACACAUGCAAGUCGAACGGAAAGGCCCAAGCUUGCUUGGGUACUCGAGUGGCGAACGGGUGAGUAACACGUGGGUGAUCUGCCCUGCACUUCGGGAUAAGCCUGGGAAACUGGGUCUAAUACCGGAUAGGACCACUUCGUAGUUGUUGUGGUGGAAAGUUUUUUCGGUGUGGGAUGAGCUCGCGGCCUAUCAGCUUGUUGGUGGGGUAAUGGCCUACCAAGGCGUCGACGGGUAGCCGGCCUGAGAGGGUGUACGGCCACAUUGGGACUGAGGUACGGACCAGGCUCCUACGGGAGGCAGCAGUGGGAAAUAUUGCACAAUGGGCGGAAGCCUGAUGCAGCGACGCCGCGUGGGGGAUGACGGCCUUCGGGUUGUAAACUCCUUUCGCCAAAGACGAAUUUAGGACGGUAUUUGGAGAAGAAGCACCGGCUAACUACGUG